GUGGCAGACAAGCAGGCCUAAGAAGACCCCAAGAGGGAAGGUGAUGACCCCACUCCCUUCUACACAAAAAGGAAAUGCGUCUGAGUCAAGGACCCUGAAUCUGUCGGACUGAUAGGUAUGAGAAGAGGACUAAGCUCUUCUGCCAGCUCCUACUUGUCAGCCUGGACCCGCCCACCUGCCAGCCUGGACCCG